rnacentral:rRNA from 1 species
UNUGACUUGAGUGCAGAAGGGGAGAGUGGAAUUCCAUGUGUAACGGUGAAAUGCGUAGAUAUAUGGAGGAACACCAGUGGCGAAAGCGGCUCUCUGGUCUGUCACUGACGCUGAGGCUCGAAAGCGUGGGUAGCGAACAGGAUUAGAUACCCUGGUAGUCCACGCCGUAAACGAUGAGUGCUAGGUGUUAGGCCCUUUCCGGGGCUUAGUGCCGGAGCUAACGCAAUAAGCACUCCGCCUGGGGAGUACGACCGCAAGGUUGAAACUCAAAGGAAUUGACGGGGGCCCGCACAAGCGGUGGAGCAUGUGGUUUAAUUCGAAGCAACGCGAAGAACCUUACCAGGUCUUGACAUCCCGAUGCUAUUCUUAGAGAUAGGAAGUUACUUCGGUACAUCGGAGACAGGUGGUGCAUGGUUGUCGUCAGCUCGUGUCGUGAGAUGUUGGGUUAAGUCCCGCAACGAGCGCAACCCUUAUUGUUAGUUGCCAUCAUUAAGUUGGGCACUCUAGCGAGACUGCCGGUAAUAAACCGGAGGAAGGUGGGGAUGACGUCAAAUCAUCAUGCCCCUUAUGACCUGGGCUACACACGUGCUACAAUGGUCGGUACAACGAGUUGCGAGCCGGUGACGGCAAGCUAAUCUCUGAAAGCCGAUCUCAGUUCGGAUUGGAGGCUGCAACUCGCCUCCAUGAAGUCGGAAUCGCUAGUAAUCGCGGAUCAGCACGCCGCGGUGAAUACGUUCCCGGGCCUUGUACACACCGCCCGUCACACCACGAGAGUUUAUAACACCCGAAGUCGGUGAGGUAACCUUUUAGGGGCCAGCCGCCUAAGGUGGGANGGAUGA